AUGGCACAGAGAGCUUGCUCUCGGGUGACGAGCGGCGGACGGGUGAGUAAUGUCUGGGAAACUGCCUGAUGGAGGGGGAUAACUACUGGAAACGGUAGCUAAUACCGCAUAACGUCGCAAGACCAAAGUGGGGGACCUUCGGGCCUCAUGCCAUCAGAUGUGCCCAGAUGGGAUUAGCUAGUAGGUGGGGUAACGGCUCACCUAGGCGACGAUCCCUAGCUGGUCUGAGAGGAUGACCAGCCACACUGGAACUGAGACACGGUCCAGACUCCUACGGGAGGCAGCAGUGGGGAAUAUUGCACAAUGGGCGCAAGCCUGAUGCAGCCAUGCCGCGUGUGUGAAGAAGGCCUUCGGGUUGUAAAGUACUUUCAGCGGGGAGGAAGGCGAUAAGGUUAAUAACCUUGUC
rnacentral:rRNA from 1 species